UCCAGUGCAAAAGAAGAGCUGCAAUUC
rnacentral:piRNA from 1 species